rnacentral:rRNA from 1 species
AGGGUUUGAUCAUGGCUCAGGAUGAACGCUGGCGGCGUGCUUAACACAUGCAAGUCGAGCGAAGCGCUUAAGUUCGAUUCUUCGGAUGAAGACUUUUGUGACUGAGCGGCGGACGGGUGAGUAACGCGUGGGUAACCUGCCUCAUACAGGGGGAUAACAGUUAGAAAUGGCUGCUAAUACCGCAUAAGCGCACAGAGCUGCAUGGCUCAGUGUGAAAAACUCCGGUGGUAUAAGAUGGACCCGCGUUGGAUUAGCUUGUUGGUGGGGUAACGGCCCACCAAGGCGACGAUCCAUAGCCGGCCUGAGAGGGUGAACGGCCACAUUGGGACUGAGACACGGCCCAG